rnacentral:piRNA from 5 species
GCCUGGAUAGCUCAGUUGGUAGAGCAUCAGA